UAGGGAAUCUUCCACAAUGGACGCAAGUCUGAUGGAGCAACGCCGCGUGAGUGAAGAAGGUUUUCGGAUCGUAAAGCUCUGUUGUUGGUGAAGAAGGAUAGAGGUAGUAACUGGCCUUUAUUUGACGGUAAUCAACCAGAAAGUCACGGCUAACUACGUGCCAGCAGCCGCAGUAAUACGUAGGUGGCAAGCGUUGUCCGGAUUUAUUGGGCGUAAAGCGAGCGCAGGCGGAAGAAUAAGUCUGAUGUGAAAGCCCUCGGCUUAACCGAGGAACUGCAUCGGAAACUGUUUUUCUUGAGUGCAGAAGAGGAGAGUGGAAUUCCAUGUGUAGCGGUGGAAUGCGUAGAUAUAUGGAAGAACACCAGUGGCGAAGGCAACUCUCUGGUCUGCAACUGACGCUGAGGCUCGAAAGCAUGGGUAGCGAACAGG
rnacentral:rRNA from 1 species